rnacentral:rRNA from 1 species
GAUCCUGGCUCAGGAUGAACGCUAGCUACAGGCUUAACACAUGCAAGUCGAGGGGCAGCAUGGUCUUAGCUUGCUAAGGCCGAUGGCGACCGGCGCACGGGUGAGUAACACGUAUCCAACCUGCCGUCUACUCUUGGACGAGCCUUCUGAAAGGAAGAUUAAUACAAGAUGGCAUCAUGGAGUCCGCAUGUUCACAUGAUUAAAGGUAUUCUGGUAGACGAUGGGG